rnacentral:rRNA from 1 species
AGAGUUGAUCCUGGCUUAGGAUGAACGCUGGCGGCGUGCCUAACACAUGCAUGUCGAACGAGAAUGUUCUGAAGAUUCGUCGGAUGGGCAUCGAGUGGCGGACGGGUGAGUAACGCGUGGGUAACCUGCCCUGUACCGGGGGAUAACAGUUAGAAAUGACUGCUAAUACCGCAUAAGCGCACAGCAUCGCAUGAUGCAGUGUGAAAAAACUCCGGUGGUACAGGAUGGACCCGCGUCUGAUUAGCCAGUUGGCGGGGUAACGGCCCACCAAAGCGACGAUCAGUAGCCGACCUGAGAGGGUGACCGGCCACAUUGGGACUGAGACACGGCCCAAACUCCUACGGGAGGCAGCAGUGGGGAAUCUUGCACAAUGGGCGAAAGCCUGAUGCAAGCGACGCCGCGUGAGUGAAGAAGUAUUUCGGUAUGUAAAGCUCUAUCAGCAGGGAAGAAAAUGACGGUACCUGACUAAGAAGCCCCGGCUAACUACGUGCCAGCCGCUGC